UACGAAGGGGGCUAGCGUUGUUCGGAAUUACUGGGCGUAAAGCGUGCGCAGGCGGCUUCUCAAGUCAGGGGUGAAAGCCCAGAGCUCAACUCUGGAAUUGCCUUUGAGACUGAGUGGCUUGAGUACGAGAGAGGUGAGUGGAAUUCCCAGUGUAGAGGUGAAAUUCGUAGAUAUUGGGAGGAACACCAGUGGCGAAGGCGGCUCACUGGACCGGUACUGACGCUGAUGCGCGAAAGCGUGGGGAGCAAACAGG
rnacentral:rRNA from 1 species